rnacentral:rRNA from 1 species
CAGUCGAGCGAACUGACGAGGAGCUUGCUCCUUUGACGUUAGCGGCGGACGGGUGAGUAACACGUGGGUAACCUACCUAUAAGACUGGAAUAACUCCGGGAAACCGGGGCUAAUGCCGGAUAACAUAUCGAACCGCAUGGUUCGAUAGUGAAAGACGGUCUUGCUGUCACUUAUAGAUGGACCCGCGCCGUAUUAGCUAGUUGGUGAGGUAACGGCUCACCAAGGCAACGAUACGUAGCCGACCUGAGAGGGUGAUCGGCCACACUGGAACUGAGACACGGUCCAGACUCCUACGGGAGGCAGCAGUAGGGAAUCUUCCGCAAUGGGCGAAAGCCUGACGGAGCAACGCCGCGUGAGUGAUGAAGGUCUUCGGAUCGUAAAGCUCUGUUGUUAGGGAAGAACAAAUGUGUAAGUAACUGUGCACAUCUUGACGGUACCUAACCAGAAAGCCACGGCUAACUACGUGCCAGCAGCCGCGGUAAUACGUAGGUGGCAAGCGUUAUCCGGAAUUAUUGGGCGUAAAGCGCGCGUAGGCGGUUUUUUAAGUCUGAUGUGAAAGCCCACGGCUCAACCGUGGAGGGUCAUUGGAAACUGGAAAACUUGAGUGCAGAAGAGGAAAGUGGAAUUCCAUGUGUAGCGGUGAAAUGCGCAGAGAUAUGGAGGAACACCAGUGGCGAAAGGCGGCUUUCUGGUCUGUAACUGACGCUGAUGUGCGAAAGCGUGGGGAUCAAACAGGAUUAGAUACCCUGGUAGUCCACGCGUAACGAUGA